rnacentral:rRNA from 1 species
AGCGAACAUUGGCGGUAGGCUUAACACAUGCAAGUCGAGCGAGGCGUAAUAGUCGAGCGGCGAACGGGUGAGUAAUACAUGGAAAUCUACCCUGAAGUGGGGGAUAACGUCCAGAAAUGGACGCUAAUACCGCAUAAUCCAUAUUGGGAAAGCGUUGCAGCGCUUUAGGAUGAGUCCAUGGCUGAUUAGCUUGUUGGUGA